ensembl:snRNA U6 U6 spliceosomal RNA
GUGCUGGCUUUGGCAACACAUACCCUAAAAUUGGAAAAAUACAGAGAAGUUCAACAUGAUCCUUAUGCAAGGAUGACAUACAAAAGCAUGAAGUGUUUCAUGUUAUA